rnacentral:rRNA from 1 species
UGGCAGACGGGUGAGUAUGCAUAGGGAUCUACCUAGUAGUAUGGGAUAGCCACUAGAAAUGGUGGGUAAUACUGUAUAAUCCCCGCGGGGGAAAGAUUUAUCGCUAUUAGAUGAGCCUAUGUUAGAUUAGCUAGUUGGUAGGGUAAAGGCCUACCAAGGCGAUGAUCUAUAGCUGGUCUGAGAGGAUGAUCAGCCACACUGGAACUGAGAUACGGUCCAGACUCCUACGGGAGGCAGCAGUGGGGAAUAUUGGACAAUGGGCGCAAGCCUGAUCCAGCUAUGCCGCGUGAGUGAGGAAGGCCCUAGGGUUGUAAAACUCUUUCAGUAGGGAAGAUAAUGACGGUACCUAUA